rnacentral:tRNA from 1 species
CAGAGAAUAGUUUAAGAAAAAUUUUAAUUUUGGAGAUUAAAGAUGAAAUUAGUUAUUUUUUCUCUGA